UACGUAGGGGGCGAGCGUUGUCCGGAUUUAUUGGGCGUAAAGAGCGUGUAGGCGGCCAGGUAGGUCUGCUGUGAAAACUCGAGGCUCAACCUCGAGACGUCGGCGGAAACCAUCUGGCUAGAGUCCGGAAGAGGAGAGUGGAAUUCCUGGUGUAGCGGUGAAAUGCGCAGAUAUCAGGAAGAACACCCGUGGCGAAGGCGGCUCUCUGGGACGGUACUGACGCUGAGACGCGAAAGCGUGGGUAGCAAACAGG
rnacentral:rRNA from 1 species